ensembl:miRNA Mir5132 microRNA 5132
CAGGUCGGCGUGGGGUGGUGGACUCAGGCUUCUGGAGCUGAAGCCUGAUGUUCCCCAUCCCGCAGCGGCCU